rnacentral:rRNA from 1 species
UACGAAGGGGGCUAGCGUUGUUCGGAAUUACUGGGCGUAAAGCGCGCGUAGGCGGAUCGCUAAGUCAGGGGUGAAAUCCCAGGGCUCAACCCUGGAACUGCCUCUGAUACUGGCAAUCUGGAGAUCGGGAGAGGUUGGUGGAAUUCCGAGUGUAGAGGUGAAAUUCGUAGAUAUCAGGAAGAACACCUAUGGCGAAAGCAGCUCUCUGGGACGGUACUGACGCUGAGACGCGAAAGCGUGGGGAGCGAACAGG